rnacentral:rRNA from 1 species
GUGUCAGCCGCCGCGGUAAUACGGGGGGGGCAAGCGUUGUUCGGAAUUACUGGGCGUAAAGGGCGCGUAGGCGGCCUGCUAAGUCACACGUGAAAUCCCUCGGCUCAACCGGGGAACUGCGUGUGAUACUGGCGGGCUUGAAUUCGGGAGAGGGAUGUGGAAUUCCAGGUGUAGCGGUGAAAUGCGUAGAUAUCUGGAGGAACACCGGUGGCGAAGGCGGCAUCCUGGACCGAGAUUGACGCUGAGGCGCGAAAGCUAGGGUAGCAAACGGGAUUAGAUACCCCCGUAGUCC